UCCUCACCAACAACAACAAAACUUCCAUCACCACCCAAGAGUUAAUACACCACCACCACAACAAAAAUCUCAAUCAUCACCAAUAUUUAAAACACCUCCAUCUAUUAAUCAAACCCAAAACUGCCAAAUAUGUGACAAGAAAGGUUACUUAACUAAACAAUGUCCAAACUACAAUAAUUUUUUAGCACUGAAUACCACAGUAACCAGUCUGCCACUACAUAUGCCUCCACCAGCUUCUCAUAUAUAGCCAACAUACACCACAGGUCAGCAACCUAAUUCAGCCUAUUCAGAAGACUAUCAACAAGCUUCACAAUCUGAGAUGGGAAUGUCAGCAGCUGCAACACUGGAGGACUCAUCAGCCUGGUGUCUGGAUUUAGGAGCAUCCAGCCACAUGCAUGGCACCAUAUUUAACUGCAUUCACUGCCUAUGAAACAGCUUCGGGUACACAAUAUGCUAUAGUUGGAAGUGGAGAUUAUUUACCUGUUAGAUAUAGAGGUAAAGUCACACUGAAAUUUAAGGAAAAAGAGUAUAAUUUAGAUGGAGUUCUAGGUGUACCAGGGUUAAAGAAAAAUCUCAUGUCCAUUCAAAAAUUAUCUAGAGAUCUCAAUUGUAUAAUUGUUUUUAAUGAUAAAAAUUUUAUGAUCAAGAACCAGGUCACUAUGGAGACAUUAUUUUCUGGCAAUAGCUCAGAACGCCUAUAUCACAUCUAUCCAGAUAGUAAAGCCUGCUAUGGAGUAAAAGCUACAAAAGAAGUAUGGCAUAACAGAUUAGGGCAUCCAUCAGAGGCUGUAUUAAAAAAAAUUGAACCCGAAUUGCAGGUUCAGAAUAAAGAAGGAAGUAAGACAGAUUUCUGUCCAGUUUGUGCUUUGGGGAAGUCACAUCAACAACCAUUUCCCAUAAGAGAAAGGAUAGCCUCUACACCAUUAAGGACAUUACAUAUAGAUCUGUGGGGCCCAAUUCCUAAAAUAUCUGUAGGAAAUUUCAGAUUUUAUGUAUCCAUAGUUGAUGAAUAUACAAGAUUUAUAUGGUUUUAUCCAAUGAACAAUAAAUCUGAUUUUUUCUCUAUUUUUGUCAAAUUUCAUGAUUUAGUAGAAAAUUAUUUGGAAGAGAAAAUAAAGGAAAUUCAAACAGAUCAAGGAGGGGGGAGUUCAUAAAUUCAAAAUUUAAAAGAUACCUAGAGACACAAGGAAUAAACCAAAAAAAAUCAUGCACAUAUACACUUCAACAACAUGGUUUGGUUGAAAGAAGGCAUAGACAAAUACUUGAAGUGGGGAGUUGGAUCAAACCUUGUUGUAACGGAAUUUGUGAAUGAGUCAUAGCUUUCUCUGAGUGCCCCUAAAGUGAUCAAAAUAACAUCGGACUUUUUCAGUCCCUCACCUGUUGCUGCCAACGCAUCUUUAAGGAUCGAAAUUUUUGUGAUAAAUUCCUCCAUGGUUAGACUUCUUUUCCUAACUGUUUGAAGUUGUAGGCGUAGAUGAAGCUACCUUGUCUGAGUACUGGAG
rnacentral:lncRNA from 1 species